CUCAUUCAUCAUCGUCUCUGUCUCCUCUUCUUGGCCGUCUUUAACUUUAUCCUCU
rnacentral:sRNA from 1 species